rnacentral:rRNA from 1 species
CAGCCGCCGCGGUAAUACGAAGGGGGCUAGCGUUGUUCGGAUUUACUGGGCGUAAAGGGCGCGUAGGCGGGCGAAUAAGUCAGGGGUGAAAUCCCAAGGCUCAACCUUGGAACUGCCUUUGAUACUGUUUGUCUUGAGUCCGGGAGAGGUGAGUGGAACUGCGAGUGUAGAGGUGAAAUUCGUAGAUAUUCGCAAGAACACCAGUGGCGAAGGCGGCUCACUGGCCCGGAACUGACGCUGAGGCGCGAAAGCGUGGGGAGCAAACAGGAUUAGAUACCCCCGUAGUCCCUGUCUCUUAUAC